ACAGGUGUGCCCAGGCGUAUCUAUCAGUGCCCAGGUGUACCUGUCCAUGCCCAGGUGUGCCCAGGUGUACCUAUGUGUGCUCAGGUGUGCCCAGGCAUAUCUAUGUGUGUGUAUGAGUACCCAGGUGUGCCCAGGUGUAUCUAUGUGUGCCCAGAUGUACCUGUCCAUGCCCAGGUGUAUCUAUGUGUAUCGAUGUGUAUGUAUCAGUACCCAGGUGUGCCCAAGUGUACCCAGGUGUAUCUAUGAGUACCCAGGUCACCCAGGUGUACCCAGGUGUGCCGAGGUGUGGGUGGUUGCGCACGUGCGUCUAUGUGUGCCCAGGUGUACGCAGGUGUGCCCAGGUGCGCCCAGGUGUGUCUAUGUGUACCCAGGUGUGCUAUCUAUGUGUAUCUAUCAGUACCCAGGUGUAUCUAUGUGUACCCAGGUGUAUCUAUCAGUGCCCAGGUGUGCCCAGGUGUACCCAGGUGUGCCCAGGUGUGCCCAGGUGUAUCUAUGUGUAUCUAUCAGUGCCCAGGUGUGCCCAGGUGUAUCUAUGAUGUACCGGGUGGUUGCAUCUAUCAGUCCACCAGGUGUGAGCAGGUGUGCCCAGGUGUAUCUAUCAGUGUACCCAGGUGUGCUAUCUAUGUGUAUCUAUCAGUACCCAGGUGUAUCUAUGUGUACCUAUCCAUGCCCAGGUGUGCUCACCGUUGAGGUAGGGGUGGUUGCAGCACUUGCGCAGCUCCAUCAUGGUGUUGAGCAGGUGUGCCCAGGUGCGCCACUGACCAGGUCCAUGUGCUUGAGGCUGUCCAGCAGCUUGCAGUGGCGGUUCUUGAGGCGGUGCGCCUCGUCGAUGACCACGCAGCGCCACUGCACCUCACGCAGCUCGGGGCAGUCCGACAGGAUCAUCUCGAACGUCGUGAUCAGCGCGUCGAACUUGUACGCACCUGGGAUCAGCCGGCCCUGCAGGUGCGCACAGGUGACACAGGUGAGCUCACCUGGCUGCUGUUUGAAAGUGUUUUGUGCCGCUGGAUCACCUGCCAGGUUGUCAUGGUACACCCUGGUGUGUGUACAGGUGUGCCACUAGUCCCAUACAGGUGUGCACAGGUGUACACAGGUGAGCUCACCUGGCUGCCAUUUGAGCGUGUUUUGUGGGUCUGCAUCACCUGCCAGGCUGUCAUGGUGCACAUUGGUGUGUGCACAGGUGUGCCCUUAGUCCCAUACAGGUGUGCACAGGCAUGUACAGGUGAGCUCACCUGGUUGCCAUCUGAGCGUGUUUUGUGGGGCUGGAUCACCUGCCAGGUUGUCAUGGCACACCCUGCUGUGGGCACAGGUGUGUCACUAGUCCCAUACAGGUGUGCACAGGGUAGUACAGGUGAGCUCACCUGGCUGCUGUUUUAAAGUGUUUUGUGCCGCUGGAUCACCUGCCAGGUUGUCAUGGUAUGCCUGGGUGUGUGCACAGGUGUGCCCUUAGUCCCAUACAGGUGUGCACAGGUGAGACAGGUGAGCUCACCUGGCUGCCUUUGAGCGUGUUUUGUGGGGCUGGAUCACCUGCCAGGUUGCCAUGGUGCACAUUGGUGUGUGUACAGGUGUGUCACUAGUCCCAUACAAGUGUGCACAGGUGACACAGGUGAGCUCACCUGGCUGCCGUUUGUGCUGCUGCAUCACCUGCCGGGCCAACGUGGUUCAGUGUGGUGUAAGCACAGGUGUGCAGAACUGCGUCACUGACCCCGUACAGGUGAGCACAGGUGAGCACAGGUAAGACAGGUGUGGCACAGGUGAGCUCACCUGGCUGUCUUCCAAAAGCAUUUCACACUCCUAGGCUUCUGCAGUACGCCAUGGUGCGUGUGCAGGUGCGUACAGGUGUGUUACAGGCGUGUACAUGCAUGUUAUAGAUAUGUACAGGUGUGCACAGGUGAGCUCACCUGGCUGCCAUCUGAGGGUGUUUUGUGCUGCUGGAUCACCGGCCAGGUUGUCAUGGUGCACACUGGCAUGUGUACAGGUGUGUCAUUAAUCCCGUACAGGUGUGCACAGGUGUGUCAACAACCCCAUACAGGUGUGUUAUAUGUACAAUACGGGCACACAAGUGUGCACAGGUGUGCCCAGGUGAGCUCACCUUGCUGUCCUUGCAGUACAUCUCGUACUGCUGGGUCACCUGCCUGCUUCCCAGGUGUGUCAGCAACCCCAUACAGGUGUAUUAGUGACCCCCAUACAGGUGCGUCACACACACAAUACAGGUGUUUUACCUGCCCAGGUGAGCUCACCUUGCUGUCCUUGCAGUACAUCUCGUACUGCUGGAUCAUCUGCCGGCUGGCCAGGCUGCACAGGUGUGUCAGUAACCCCACACAGGUGUGUCACACACACAAUACAGGUGUAUCACGGAUGUUUCACCUGCCCAGGUGAGCUCACCUUGCUGUCCUUGCAGUACAUCUCGUACUGCUGGAUCAUCUGCCGGCUGGCCAGGCUGCCGUGGUACACGAUGGUGUUCAGGUGCGUCCAGGUGCCGAACUCGCGCUCCCAGUUGGCGAUGGUGGAGAGCGGCGCGAUCACCAGGUAGGGGCCGCGCACACCUGCGCCGUGCACCUCCUGCAGGAACGCGAUCGACUGGAUCGUCUUGCCCAGCCCCAUCUCGUCCGCCAGGAUGCAGUUCUGCCUGAGGGACAGGUGCGACACAGGUGAGACAGCUGAGACACGCCUGGCACAGGUAACGUACGCCUGGCACAGGUAACUUAUGCCUGGGAUACACCUGGCACAGGUAAGGUACACCUGAGGCAGGUAAUGUACACCUGACACAGGUAAGGUACACCUGAGAUACACCUGGCACAGGUAACGUACACCUGGCACAGGUAAGGUACACCUGAGAUACACCUGGCACAGGUAACGUACGCCUGGCACAGGUAACUUAUGCCUGGGAUACACCUGGCACAGGUAAGGUACACCUGGGGCAGGUAAUGUACACCUGGCACAGGUAAGGUACACCUGAGAUACACCUGGCACAGGUAAGGUACACCUGGCACAGGUAAGGUACACCUGAGAUACACCUGGCACAGGUAAGGUACACCUGGCACACGUAAGGUACACCUGAGAUACACCUGGCGCAGGUAACGUACACCUGGCACAGGUAAGGUACACCUGAGGGACAGGGGUUGCUCUUGCCCAGCCCCAUCUCGUCCGCCAGGAUGCAGUUGUGCCUGAGGGACAGGUGCGACACAGGUGAGACAGCUGAGACACGCCUGGCACAGGUAACGUACACCUGGCACAAGUAACAUACACCUGGGACAGGUAACGCACACCUAAGAUACACCUGGGACAAGUAACAUACACCUAGGACAGGUAAGGUGCACCUGAGAUACACCUGGGACAGGUAAGGUACACCUGAGAUUCACCUGGCACAGGUAAAGCACACCUGAGGCACAGCUGGGACUGGUAAGGUGCACCUGGGAUACACCUGGCACAGGUAAUUUACACCUAGAAUACACCUGAGAUGCACCUGGGACAGGUAACUUGCACCUGGAACCCAGAAUAUGUAACAGACCAGGUGUUCUCACCUGUCCCAGGUGUGCCCAGGUGAGCUCACCUGUUGUACCAGUUGAAGAGCAGCCAAUUGACGCCCUCCAGCUGGUAUUCCCUGAGCCGAUACCCUCACCUGUCCCAGGUGUAUUUACCUGCCCCAGGUGUGCCCAGGUGAGCUCACCUGUUGUACCAGUUGAAGAGCAGCCAAUUGACGCCCUCCAGUUGACACUCCCUGAGCAGAUACCCUCACCUGUCCCAGGUGUUUUCCCAUUCCCCAGCUGUUCCCAGGUGUAUUUACCUGUGCCCAGGUGAGCUCACCUGUUGUACCAGUUGAAGAGCAGCCAAUUGACGCCCUCCAGUUGACACUCCCUGAGCCGAUACCCUCACCUGUCCCAGGUGUAUUUACCUGCACCAGGUGUAUUUACCUGUCCCAGGUGUGUUUACCUGUGCCCCAAGUGAGCUCACCUGUUGUACCAGUUGAAGAGCAGCCAGUUGACGCCCUCCAGCUGGUAUUCCCUGAGCCGAUACCCUCACCUGUCCCAGGUGUUUUCCCAUUCGCCAGCUGUUCCCAGGUGUGUUUACCUGUGCCCAGGUGAGCUCACCUGUUGUACCAGUUGAAGAGCAGCCAGUUGACGCCCUCCAGCUGGUAUUCCCGCAGCUGGUUGUGGUUCUUGUACUCGUGCGACGCCUCCAGCUUCUUCCAGGCGCCGGCCUGGGGGCGGGGCUGGAACAGGUGAGACACAGGUGAGACACAGGUGAGACACAGGUGAGCCAGGUAGGACAGGUGAGACACAGGUGAGACACAGGUGGGACACAGGUGAGCCACAGGUGAAACACAGGUGAGACACAUCAUACAGGUGGGACACAGGUAAAAUGAAAUACAAGGGAAAUACAAGUGAAAUGAGUCAUACAGGUGAGGGACAGGUGAGGGACAGGUGAGACACACAGGUGAGAUAAAUCAUACAGGUGAGUUACAGGUAAAGUUAAAUGCAACUGAAAUAUCAUACAGGUGAGCCAGGUGGGACAGGUGAGACACAGGUGAGAUAAAAGUGAGACAUAGAUAACAUACAGGUAAUGUACAGGUGAGUUACAGGUGAGACACAGGCGACACAGGUGAGACACAGGUGAGAUACAUCAUACAGGUGAGUUACAGGUAAGGCGAAAUACAAAUGAAAUGUCAUACAGGUGAGAUACAGGUGAGACACAGGUGAGAUACAUCAUACAGGUGAGUUACAGGUAAGGUAAAAUGCAAGUGAAACGUGAUACAGGUGAGAUACAGGUGAGACAGGUGAGAUACAGGUGAGCCAGGUGAGCCAGGUGGUGAUGCAGAUCUCACCUGUACAGGGGCGUGGCUCACCUGUAAAGGUGCAGAGCUCGCCUGGGAGUGGGCGUGGCUCACCUGUGCGUGGGCGUGGCCUCACCUGUCUCUUGAGCUCGGGGUGCCGCGCCUGGAUCCGCUUGAACUCGGCCACCUUGGCCUCGUCCACGUCCUCCUGCAGCUCCCAGGUGCUGUCCUCGUACGGCAGCGAGCACCACUUCACCAGGUAAUACACCACGGGCUGCGGGGGGACACACCUGCUCAGGUAACACACCUGGAUACAGGUAACCGCCAGGUGAGCCCUCCUGCAGCCCCAGGUAACUGACACCUGGAUACACCUGGGCACACCUGGACAGGUAACUGUCAGGUAACUGACACCUGGAUACACCUGGAUACAGGUAACCGCCAGGUGAGCCCUCCUGCAGCCCCCAGGUGCUGUCCUCGUAUGGUAAUGAGCACCACUUCACCAGGUAAUACACCACGGGCUGCACGGGGGACACACGUGCUCAGGUAACUGACACCUGGAUACAGGUAACUGCCAGGUGAGCCCUCCUGCAGCCCCCAGGUGCUGACACCUCGAUACCUGGUAAUGAGCACCACUUCACCAGGUAAUACACCACGGGCUGCACAGGUGAGACAGGUGAGUCAGGUAACACACCUGGAUACAGGUAACUGACACCUGGAUACACCUGGGCACACCUGGAUACAGGUAACUGCCAGGUAACUGACACCUGCAUACACCUGCACAGGUAACUGACCUCAUACAUGGACAGGUAACUCACACCUGGGCACACCUAGGUACAGGUAACUGCCAGGUAACUCACACCUGGAUACACCUGGACAGGUAACUGACCCCACACCUGACCAGGUGAUACACCACGGGCUGGGGAGGGAACACCUGAACAGGUGAGUCACACCUGGGCACACCUGGAUACAGGUAACUGACCCCUGGGCACACCUAGACAGGUAACACACCUGGGCACUGGACAGGUAAAGGCACCACAGCAAAACCAACAAGAAUCCUCAAUUUUGGGGUUUCACCACCACAAAAUCCAUGCAAGUCCAUUACAAUCCCAAAUUUUGGGGUUUAAAACCCCAAAAUAGACAGGUAACACCAGCUGGAAAAUCCACGAAACUCCCAUCUUGGAGUUCUGAAUUCCUGAAAAGGUAAUUUUGGGGCACCUACCAGCAGAAGACCAACAAAAUCCUCAAUUUUGGGGUUUCACCAUCAAAAGAUCCAUGAAAAUCCCGA
rnacentral:lncRNA from 14 species